UGGCUUUUGUUCUGUUUGUUUACAGAUCAAGUCUGUCAUUGCCUAUACCAUGUUUCUUAAAGCCUUUGGUAGUCUCCUUUUCAUCAUCAGCAGCUCGUUCGGAGCGGUCGUACUGGUGCGUACUCUUCUUGUGCAUGCACUAUAUCUAGAAUUAUGUUAUGUUAAAGGGGCAUCUAGAUGCAUACUGUUGUGGCUGCCAUUAAAUGCAUGGCUUCUCAAACUAUUUAAAAGGAAGUGUUGUUGCCGUGCCAUUUAGGUAGUUUCAACAGAUAUGAUGUGCUUGGCUGUUAAUGUUUUAGUGUGUGCUUCUCACCUGCUGUAAAAGGCCAAUUCGGGCAUUGUAGCUGCUUUAAUAUUUGAUCUUCAUAUAUUUUGCUUUUGCAAUAUCCUGUUCUAACAUCUGAAAAUGGAAUACUUUAACAAUAUAAUCUUCGUGACUUUCUGCAACUGAUUUUUGCUGUAGUCCAAAAUUAUAUGUUUGUGUUUAUUGCCUUUUUUAGUGUGUUGAUAUUUGAAAGGGGAACAGGGCAACGUGUUGCACUCUUGCUUUUGUUAGAGCACUAUAUUUUAUUGUUAACCAUGCUAUGGUCCAAACUCCUUUUUAUUCUGCUCAUAUGAUAUUGCUCAUCUUUUGUUUUCUGUCUGAUGCCUCCUGUAUUUAGAGUAGAAAUAUUCUUAAUUUAGUGUUUCUUGAACAUGGCCAGGGCAAUGGAUAAAAUCUACUCUGGAUAGUUGACAGAGGGAGUACAUGCUAAGUUGACUUUUUUCCUGUGGAUUUGCUUAUCGUGAAGAUGCUUGCAAGGAUGCAGAGGGAGCGGAUCAUUUGGAGAGAUAGGAUGCCACUGUUUGGUGUUCUUAUGCAUUUUUGUUUGCUUGUAACUGUGUUUGCACUAGCAGGGAGUAAGUGACUUCAAGAAGUGUAGGUGUUUUAAUUGAAGGCAUGAAAAGCCAUGACAAUAUGUAUGCUCUUACAGGAUGUGCUCUAAUGCCGCUGGUUUAUUAUAAAUCUUGGAUUAGUAAUGAUGUGUAAUGUUGUUG
rnacentral:lncRNA from 1 species